CUUGGUCAUUUAGAGGAAGUAAAAGUCGUAACAAGGUCUCCGUAGGUGAACCUGCGGAGGGAUCAUUACACAAUAAACAUAUGAAGGCUGCACCGCCAACAGGCGGCAAGGCUGGAGUAUUUUAUUACCCUUGUCUUUUGCGCACUUGUUGUUUCCUGGGCGGGUUCGCCCGCCUCCAGGACCACAUGAUAAACCUUUUUUAUGCAGUUGCAAUCAGCGUCAGUACAACAAAUGUAAAUCAUUUACAACUCUCAACAACGGAUCUCUUGGUUCUGGCAUCGAUGAAGAACGCAGCGAAAUGCGAUACGUAGUGUGAAUUGCAGAAUUCAGUGAAUCAUCGAAUCUUUGAACGCACAUUGCGCCCUUUGGUAUUCCAAAGGGCAUGCCUGUUCGAGCGUCAUUUGUACCCUCAAGCUUUGCUUGGUGUUGGGCGUUUUUUGUCUUUGGUUUUGUCCAAAGACUCGCCUUAAAACGAUUGGCAGCCGGCCUACUGGUUUCGCAGCGCAGCACAUUUUUGCGCUUGCAAUCAGCAAAAGAGGACGGCACUCCAUCAAGACUCUACAUCACUUUUGACCUCGGAUCAGGUAGGGAUACCCGCUGAACUUAAGCAUAUCAAUAAGCGGAGGA
rnacentral:rRNA from 1 species